CCACGACUCGGAUACACACUCCGUGUAUCACCCUAUUCCUUCCAAAUUGGUUCAAGUGUUUAUCUUGUUUUCUUUUGGAUUCUUCUUUUGGAUUCUUUUAUUGGUGUUGUUUAUUUAUUUGGUGGUGAUUUUUUUUACGAUGAAUAGUGAUUGACGGGAACUAUCACAACCAGGGCCACGAAGGAGACGAACAGUACCCCGACAACGAAGGCAUGCCCCCCCUCUCUUUAUUUGAUUAUAUUUAUCCUAUGUUUUCAAAUGGGCAUUCGUUAGUUAUUUUAAUGCUUUAUAAACAUGCAUGCUAUUUUAUUCUUGUUGCUAGUAUGUCGAUUGACACUUCGUCAUCUUCUGCUUGUCGCCAUUCCUUUGAUACCUGGAGUAGUUUUAUAUAGUAAUCUUGUAGAGUAGAAAUCCUUAGCCAUGCUCACUAUUCAUUAGUAAUAUCUCAAUUGGUCUAAGUGAUCUUCGGAUCGAGAAUAUCUUGCUGAA
rnacentral:lncRNA from 1 species